rnacentral:snoRNA from 1 species
GUGCACAUUUCAUCGACCUGCUUCCAUUUAUAGGUGAGCAGUGUUAUUUCUUAAGUGCUAAACAAGUAGUUGAAGGUUAAUUAGCAGUUUAACUAAAUACGUAGUAAUGCUGCCAGUAUCCUUUAUAUAAAA